rnacentral:rRNA from 1 species
GAUGAACGCUGGCGGCGUGCCUAAUACAUGCAAGUCGAGCGAACGGACGAGAAGCUUGCUUCUCUGAUGUUAGCGGCGGACGGGUGAGUAACACGUGGAUAACCUACCUAUAAGACUGGGAUAACUUCGGGAAACCGGAGCUAAUACCGGAUGAUAUUUUGAACCGCAUGGUUCAAAAGUGAAAGACGGUCUUGCUGUCACUUAUAGAUGGAUCCGCGCUGCAUUAGCUAGUUGGUAAGGUAACGGCUUACCAAGGCAACGAUGCAUAGCCGACCUGAGAGGGGGGCGGGCAAAAAGGGAAAGAGAAACGGGUCAGAAACCCACAGGGGGGCAGAAGGAGGGAAUCUUCCGAAUGGGGGAAAGGCCUAAAGGAGAACCGCAGGGGGGGAGAAGAAGGUGUAGGGAUGGAAAAACCUGUUUAUGGGAAAAAAAAUAUGGGUAAGUAAAGGGGCACAUCUUGACGGUACCUAAUCAGAAAGCCACGGCUAAAUAAGG